AGAUAAAGUUGAUUGUUUUCAUACAAUGAUCCUUUCCAGUAUAUCGAUAUCACACAUGCUUGUUACCGAAUUGGUGAGGACCGGAAAUUCUGUGUUUUUGCUGAAGUUUGAAGUUUCAGCUAUCUUUGAAUAGUACUAAAUGGAUUAUCUUGCCAACUUCUGAAAAAGUUAGUGAUGUCUUUUCCUGUAUGAUGUACCGAUAGCACAAUUGUGAAGCCCUAUGGUCCAGAAGAAGGUUGUUUAUUAUCCUUUUUUUUUUGUUCAUUCAGGGAGAAUAUAUUCAUCCAUAGGUUAUGAGAGGUUUUAAGUUGUGACAGAGAACAUUCUUAUGUAAUUAUCAGUUGAGAAUUCAUGUGGAGAGUGAAUUAGUGAGAUAAAAGUGCUGGUCACAAUGGAGAAGCUUUGCUAGGACUUUCAUUUAAUUCAACAUCUACUCUAACUGAAUGAACGAGCAAUGAGGAUGGAAAUGGUUUCUACAAACUAAGAAGCUCAGAGACUUCAAUCGUUGCAGGACCAAUGAUUCAGAGAAGACUUUUCUAUCAAGCAUCACUGUCUUAUCUCACUGUUCUUGGAAUCAGAAACUUUGUGGCAGCUUCAGUUGAAUUCAGUACUUGAAAUUUUUGUCCAACACAUUGUCACUGCAAAAAAUUUGUAUUUUUCUCAUGGAGAUAAGUGUCAGAGCUGGCAUAUACACCAUCCUAUAGUAGCUGGCAAGCCAUCGUGCUUAAUUUAAAUUUUCUUUGAAAUUGAGUACGUGCAACGGAAGAAAACCUCAAAGAUCCUCACAAUGGAGUUGAAUGCUAACAUUUGCUCAAAGCCCAUUUUCAAGAGGAAUUCCAGUAUGGAAAUUAGUGAAAGGCCUUCAAAUGCAGCAAGGCAGAGGUUUGCAAAAUCACAUCCGGACGGUGUAAAGAUUUCCUGAGAGGUAAGAGUGAUGGCAAGGUGAAAUUCCUACAAAUAUGUAGAAAUAUGUAGUAAGCUUUAACAGUUUAUAUGUAUACACUCUUCUGUAUGUUUCGAUCUGAAUCUCUUUAUGGUUUUGUAUUUGCUCUUUGUUUGGUCACACUGCAACUCAUCUUCAAUCCAUUUAUUGAAGAGGAUGGGCUUUCUCUAACAUGUGCAAUUUUCUGGAAGUGGGUUCUUUCUUGUCAUGUAAAAUUCUUACAAGGGAGUGAAUACUUGUA